UAAAAUGACCCUUGAUAAUGGAUAUCUUGGCCCUCUGAUCGAUGAAGAACGCUGUGAAAUGCGAUACAUAUUGUGAAUUGCAGAAUUUUGUGAAUCAUUAAGUUUUUGAACGUGAGUUACGCCUAUUGCCCUUUUUUGGGUUGGCAUAUUUGGUUGGGCGU
rnacentral:rRNA from 1 species